GUGAUUCUUCUACUAGGGCAUAGGUAUUUAUCAUUAAACCCAUAUGUUCACUCCCACUUAAGGUUACCGCAUAUAUUCCACACAGUUUUCCACUACCAGAAAUUGCUUUGCAUGCAUCAAAUAAAAGGAUGCCUAGGGAUGUACUAGUGCUUAAUAAGGUCUUAUUUAUUAAAAUCUUCUGGGACUGAGCAUUUCGAAGAACCAGCCAAAUUGUACGGUGUUGAAA